rnacentral:lncRNA from 10 species
GCUGCUCUUAUUUUUCAGGUUUUUUUCUCUUUGGAUUUGAAAAUGUCAAUUGAUCUGCAUCACAGUCGCUAACUUAUUCUUCAGCAGCCUUUUGUGAGCUGUUAUUCCUAUCAAAUGAAUUUCUCAAUAUCGACAUUUUUCUUUUCAUUUUUAGAACUCACAUUUGUUUCGGUAUGACCACAUUUUUAACGGCUUUAUCAACUAGAAAUCAGUAACAGAAAGAAAAAAAGGAAACUCUAAACAUUUAGAAAUUAAAUAAUCCAUGAAUCAAAGAAAAGUCUCAAAGGAAACUAAAAAAAAAACAUAGAACUGAAUGGAAAAUUUUUAAAGUAUAUUAAAAUAUAUGAGACACAGCUAAAGCAGUGCUGAAAGGAAAAUUUUCUAACUGGGUCCUUUUGCACAAGCCCAUUCAUCAAUUUGUAACCACUGUAAUAUUUUGUAAGAUUUUUUUUUUAUUUUAAGAUUUCCAGGCUGGGCGUAGUGACUCACGCCUGUAAUCCCAGCACUUUGGGAGGCCAAGGCGGGCAGAUCACGAGGUCAAGAGAUUGAUCGAGACCAUCCUGGCUAACACGGUGAAACCCCCGUCUCUAUUAAAAAUACAAAAAUUAGCCAGGCAUAGUGGUACAGGCCUGUAGUCCCAGCUACUUGGGAGGCUGAGGCAGAAGAAUCGCUUGAACCCGGAAGGCAGAGGUUGCAGUGAGCCGAGAUU